rnacentral:rRNA from 1 species
UACGUAGGGCGCAAGCGUUAUCCGGAAUUAUUGGGCGUAAAGAGCUCGUAGGCGGUUUGUCGCGUCUGCCGUGAAAGUCCGGGGCUCAACUCCGGAUCUGCGGUGGGUACGGGCAGACUAGAGUGAUGUAGGGGAGACUGGAAUUCCUGGUGUAGCGGUGGAAUGCGCAGAUAUCAGGAGGAACACCGGUGGCGAAGGCGGCAUUCUGGACCAAUACUGACGCUGAGGAGCGAAAGCCAGGGGAGCAAACGGG